rnacentral:lncRNA from 1 species
CCCCUGUAAAUGGUAUUGAUAUUUCUUCAACAAAUACUUCCACUGAUAUUUCUAAAUUUCUUCAAACUGUAAGCAUCUAACAUUGCACUUCAUCCUCCCUGCCCUAUCUGAUUGUCUUUCUCAAAGUUUAAAGGGUAUUACUUCUAAUUAUUUCAGUUUAAUUCAGUGGCUUAUCAUGAGAUGUGUCGAAUGUUGUCUUAAUCUUCCCCUCUGCUUAGUUUUCAACAAAUAGUUUUUCAGUGAGCAAACGCUUGUUAUCAUUUUAUUCUUCAAGCUUUGUUUAGUUGAAAGGACAUCGAGCGGCCAUCGGUGAAGGUGAUUUCCUGGACCAGCUCUUGUCAGUAGUUUAAUGCUUUGCGCCUGACAUUCAGCACGUGCGCUUAUUUUUGUAUUGGUUUGUAUUUAGAAAUUUUUUAAAAUAUUUUAAUAUCGAUCUUUGACGUAAAUAUUUAUCGUUGACUUUGAUUCAACACAAAAUAAAAAGACAAUCGCACAGAGUAGCAAUCAAAAGACCCUAGGCCUAUGUGACUUUUGAACUUGGGUAGAGUUUUGUACUCUACGCAUGUAGUCCUUGUCGGGUGUGACAAAAAUAUCGUCCGAAAUAACCCUCCCUAACGAGUAACGACGACAUGUUAUCUCUGAUUUUGGUUUAAUCAAAUAAAUCUUAACUAAUUGUAACUCGAGAUUUGGAGAUUUUUAAACUAAAUGCCCCACGUAUUCCCGACACGUAUUUCCACGUCAGAAUUCUAAACUAAACAGCCAAAUGAAUUAAUAUAGUAAAUAGACGCGAAUAUCCAAAUACCCUAGCAAAUUAUGCGGAUAUUUAUUGCAAGAGGCUAUUCUUGAAACAUAUUUCGAUAAAAGCAACCGUCAAGAACAUCAAAACGUGCUCGGCAUCACGUACUACCCUUCUUCUCCCGACACAUGACCCGAUAGUUCAAAAACAUUUCAAAUGUAAGUCUAGGCUUAGCAUUACUAUUUGACUUGUUUACAUGGUAAUGAUCACGUGAACCUCGGCUACUGCCUUCCAUCUCUAAUUCCCAUCCGAAAAUCUGCGAGUAUAAAAGUCAACUGGAAAUGUUAGAGAACUUCUCUAACAUCGCCACUCUAACGGUCGCCAGCGUGUCUGCAACCACCACGACCACCGUCACCACUUCCGUCACCACCGUCUCGGCCGAUGAUGACAGCGAGGGAUGACUCUCGUUGAGCGCUCACGACCGCAGCGUCAUCCGCAAGACCUGGGACCAGGCCAUAUGGAGAGACGGCGAUGUUCCUCCUCAGAUUCUUUUCCGCUUCAUCAAGGCCCAUUCCGAAUACCAGAAGAUGUUCAGCAAGUUCGCCAGCGACCCCCAAAACGAAUUGUUGACGAACUUAUAGAAAUCACCAAAUUUGGAAAGCCAUCCGCUCACCAAAGAGGCGAAAUGCACGGACGAAGAAAUCAAGGAGAUAUUACAUAAUCUUAACUCUGAAGUCGCUGCUGUCGUCGAUGAACCCACCACCGCCUCAAAGUGGAAGAAUCACUGCGCUGCUAUGCUUUAUUUCAGCUGCUUCUUUUGGUCGGUGGCCUCGUCCAUUCCGACUGGCGGAUUACGCCCGUUCUCUUGAUCUGAUGGAAUAUUACAUCAUCAUGCUGAGCACCAUGGGGGACAGGAGAUCUCAUAUGCCGUUUAGUUAUAGGGCCGCUCAUCACCGUUUGGAAAUUAGACGUCACGAAAUUGUACGCCAUCUCGCAGAUUGCCUGCGCCAUAACAACUUCUUCCUUUCCAACCGUGGUGAACGGCGUCCAGAUGAUUAUCCAAGGUUUCUUAUUCAGCGUGACUUUCGGCUGUCAGUGUUUGUUUCUCGCUCUCGUUCCGCGUGCGCUUUUCGGAAGUGAAAAUUUGAAUCGAAUCUUCGGCGUCUCUAUUUUUUCGGACGGAUUGGCAUUCUUAUUGGUCCACCGAUCAUAAUAAUCAGGACUUAUUGUGGAUAUCACGCCAGGUCGCUCUUAUUGGUUGGCCUUUGUCUUCGCUUCUGUUAUGGAACUUUUAUCGGCGAUCGCCACAAUAGGCGCGCUGUUCUUCGCUAAUCCAAAAUAAAGUCUUUCCAAAAAUUGAAUAAUUUCCGGUUUGUUGAAAUUAAGUGAGAUUUAUUUUUUUCGUUAGUUAAUUCGAUAUUCUCCACAUGUUAUGGACAAUUACAGAUUUUUUUCAAAAAUAGAU